rnacentral:snRNA from 1 species
GGGUGAUCUGGCUGAGACAUUUGUCACUCCAUUGAUCACCAGGGUUGAUUCACCUGAUCUGGCUGGUUAGGUGGGUGUCCACAUAGAGAAAGACCAUCCUUCUUAGUCAGGGGUGCAUAAGUACCUGCGCUCCCCUGCUAGAACUUCCAAACAAGCUCUCUAGGUCCAUUUGUAGGAAAAUGUAGGGUAGUCAAGCUUCCAAGAACCCAGACACAUCCAAAUGAGGUGCUGAAUGUGGCAGUCCGCAUUUCUUU